rnacentral:rRNA from 1 species
AGUCAAGUAAUUAAGUGCAUGUGGUGGAUGCCUUGGCAGUCAGAGGCGAUGAAAGACGUAAUAGCCUGCGAUAAGCUCCGGGGAGGCGGCAAAUAUCCUUUGAUCCGGAGAUUUCUGAAUGGGGGAACCCACCUACUUUAAGGUAGGUAUUGCAACAUGAAUACAUAGUGUUGCAAGGCGAACGAGGGGAAGUGAAACAUCUCAGUACCCUUAGGAAAAGAAAUCAAUUGAGAUUCCCUUAGUAGCGGCGAGCGAACGGGGAUCAGCCCAUUAAGUUAUGUGUGUUUUAGUGGAACGCUCUGGGAAGUGCGAACGUAGAGGGUGAUAUUCCCGUACACGAAAGGGCACACAUAAUGAUGACGAGUAGGGCGAGGCACGUGAAACCUUGUCUGAAUAUGGGGGGACCAUCCUCCAAGGCUAAAUACUCCUGACUGACCGAUAGUGAACCAGUACCGUGAGGGAAAGGCGAAAAGAACCCCUGU